CGCCGCGACGGAGUUCACUGGUCACUCCAGGAUCCCCUUAAGUCGCCUCUACUGUUGGCGUUAAGGCACACGAGCGGAGAACAAAGUCUUCGUCGAACACGAAUGUAUCGCGCGUCGUCGCGCGAAAGUAACGAACGUUAUUCAAUUUUCAGCACACAACGAGAAAACUGAAUUUCCGAAGACGCGAUGAAACUCGGUUAAAAAGUUCGGAUUUUAGAGGUAUAAAGACGAUUUUCAAGACACAUAGGGGCACGUAGAUCUCACGUAUUAAAUAAGGUAACGACAGAUUUUGAUGAAAGUCGAUAGUCGAUGUUAAAAAUCGUUAAAGCUGUCUGAAGCAACGCCAAACAUUUCAAAUCAUUCGAGCACCAGUGAGUACCGAAGAAAUGUAACGAUUGUAAAUAUAUUUAAAUAUAUUUAAGGAAAGAGAUCAUGAUAAUAUUAAAAAAGCAUAUUGUGUGGAAAUGUGCACCCUAAUGAUCUUCAUAAUCUUACACUUCCCAUUGUUCGGAAGCAUUUGAAUGUCGCGCUCAUUGUAUUUGAACUGUGUCGCUACUGCAUUGUGUUGCAUUAGCAGUAAGGGAAAAAGACUAAGACAACAUUAAUGAGGAUGGUGAUAAUAGAGCCAAAUCUGUAGUGUUACCAUUUGUAAACGGUCUUAGUGACAUUCUCCACAGGGUUUUUAAAAGCUAUAACAUUAAUGUAAUACACGCGAUAAAUAAGAGAUUAGACUGUAUCAUAAAUUCUGGCAAAGACGCGUUACCCGAUAGUAACAAAACUGGUGUAGUUUACCGCUUGAAAUGUAAGGAUUGCGAUGCCUGCUACGUGGGCCAAACAAAAAGGCACCUGGCUACGAGGGUCAAGGAACAUGGAAGCGAUAUUUCGAAACGUGAAGGUAAUUGCUCAGUUGUCAGCAGACACAGAGCUUCCUUGUUCCAUGACUUUGACUGGUCAAAGAUAGACAUUCUACACCAAGAACAACAUUAACAUAAACGCGGAGUGGCGGAAAUGAUUUUUAUUAAAAGACAUCACGAUGCGAUCAAUCUACAGACGGACACUGAUAACUUGCCGGGUGUUUAUGAUCCUAUACUGAAAAAUAUUUAGAACUGUUUUGAUUCGUCACCGAAAACAUCAUUCUUCGACUUGUCAUCAUCGAGUACGGACGUGAUUCUUUGUCAUUGUUCGAUAGUUUAUGCGAUGUCCUUUUUUUGGUUAGUAUGUUAUUCUGUUGUAAUUUAUCGAGGUGAAUUUUUAUUGUAAUCAUAUUGUGUGCCUGUUUAAGUUAUUAAAUUGUAGUGUAAUUUGCGUUGUUGAUUGGUUAUAGGAAGAAAACGACAUUGUAAUUAUUAACUGUAUGUACUAACUUGAAACCUGAAGAGGGCCAGAAAUUCUGGUCGAAACGUUGUUUUUCACUGAACAAUAAAGUUGCCAGUGGUGUCGACAUAUCAUAAUUCUGUUAAAAAGACUAAGGUUCUCAGCGUCCACGGAAAUGCAAUAUUUCUAGAUUUUUAAGUCGUAUUAUAUUAUUCUUACGUUUUAUGUGUAAUCAAUAAUAGUGAAGAUAUAAAAACAUUUUUUGGGAUCCAUCUAGCAGCCGGAUACGAAUCGCGCGUUGAGAAAGAAUAUUUGUUAUAAGGCGAAAACUACAUUGUAUAACGCUAGUAUUCUUGUAUAACGCUAGAGGUUAGAAGUGUCUGUCGGUGCUAUCUGCAACGAAGCAUUAUUAACAAUGGCUCAGACUAAAUUAAGUAAGUUAAAAAAGCGUUGGUAUGAUUAAGACAAGCUUGACAAGAUUUAAAGCAGUUUUAGAUAAUUAUUCACCACAUCACGAUUACAGUGCAUUUAAAAUUCAUCGGAAAAGCAAAGUCUUUAUUACCAGAGUUUGAGAACAUUCAUUUAUACAGGGUGAAGAUAGCGAUAACAACUCUAGACAAUUAUCGAGGAUAAUUAUUACGUUACAAAUAGCGAGAGUGUUGGCAACUGUAUCCAAUACUUGCGUGUUAAGAUGCGCAAGUAAUGCAAUUACACUUUUGCUGACAAAUAAAAGACUUUAUUCUUUACUGUUGCACAAUGUGUACGUCAUAUCGACCAAGAAAAAAAAGAAAGAAGAAUGUGCACAUAAGAAGUCGAACUCAACAAAAGUAACAUAUCGAUUCCUACGCCAUCUGACUCAUUUAAAGUUCAAAUCGUCGACACUCAUGUAUGUCUAAGUUUAAAUAUUUUACGUACUUUUAUACAGAAACGUUUGUAAUAAUUAUCAACUGUAUCAACUGUUGAAUGCUGAAUCAUGAUAUACUUUAUCAGAUCGACUUUCUCUCUCAAUAUAUUGGAUCAAGCAUAUCGAAUAUUUCUAUAUUGUAAUGUAAUAAUAUAAUAUGUCAGAAGAAAGAUAUAUGAUGCAGUGAAACUUCAUUAUUUCAAAGAAAAAUGGUUGUAUCGAUUCCACUCUUGUGAUAAUAUCAUUGGCUUAACACAUUGCGAACUGCAAAUUGUUUUUAUACUGCUAAUAUCCAGCGGUUAGCUUCUUUUCUUGUGUUAGAAUUUUUUCUUAUUCUUUUUUGUUUAAAUUAUUUAUGAGUGGUUAAUAAUUAAAAAUCAUUUUAAAAGUCAUCAUGUUAAAUACUUAUUUUCAACAAAUAUUGUAAAAUUAUAUGCGCAAUAUGAAAUGCGGGAUAUCUCGUCAUCCGUCCGCAAUGUGUUAAGAUCGUAACGACAACGUAAUGACUCUCGACAAACUACUCGUUUAUUAAAAAUGUCGGUGGCUUCUGGAUAAAUGUGAUUAAAGGUGUAAGAGUUGAUACGGCUUCGUUCCUCGGGCAACAAACCAGAGUCUCGCGAAUUACGCGGCCAAGAGUCUUCCUUCUUCUCUUUCUUUUCUUAUAUCGCUUCUCUUCCCCUUUAGAUCUUUAGAUUAUCUUAUUAUUAAUCAAUGCGCUUACGCUGCGAGAUCCGAGAUCCGAGAAGCGAUAAACGUUGGCAAGUGAUAAAA